rnacentral:rRNA from 1 species
UACGUAGGGCGCAAGCGUUGUCCGGAAUUAUUGGGCGUAAAGAGCUCGUAGGCGGUUUGUCGCGUCGGGAUGUGAAAGCCCGGGGCUUAACCCCGGGUCUGCAUUCGAUACGGGCAGACUGGAGUGUGGUAGGGGAGAUCGAAUUCCUGGUGUAGCGGUGAAAUGCGCAGAUAUCAGGAGGAACACCGGUGGCGAAGGCGGAUCUCUGGGCCAUUACUGACGCUGAGGAGCGAAAGCGUGGGGAGCGAACAGG